GGAGNNNGUUGUACCAGAAGUGGAUANCUUAACCGAANGGGGGGCGUUCACCACGGUAUGAUUCAUGACUGGGGUGAAGUCGUAACAAGGUAACCGUAGGGGAACCUGCGGUUGGAUCACCUCCUUACCAUAAUAAGCGAUAGCAAGUGUUCACACAGAUUGGCUGAUAGUUGUAGACAAACGAGCAGAAGAGAUUAUAGCCCUUGGGUCUGUAGCUCAGGUGGUUAGAGCGCACCCCUGAUAAGGGUGAGGUCGGUGGUUCAAGUCCACUCAGACCCACCACUCUAAGAGUGAGUGAAGCGAGGGUUAAUCUGAUGAAUUGGGGAUAUAGCUCAGCUGGGAGAGCGCCUGCCUUGCACGCAGGAGGUCAGCGGUUCGAUCCCGCUUAUCUCCACCACUUAUCAUCGCUAAAUGAAUUGAAUCAGGAUGGGUANUNNNNGGAUG
rnacentral:misc_RNA from 1 species